AUGUAUGUUGGUACGAUUAUGGAGUCGAAUGAUGCAACUUUCUUUGAGGACAUAUUUCCUAUGAAGGUUAUGUCGAGUUCAUCAAAUCAGGAGAUACCUACUCCAUCUAGUAAGGAAUUCGCUGUAAUUCCUGAACCCACCAUUGCGACGGAACACGUUGAGAAUCCUGUUGAGGGUGACAAUGGAACUCCUGUGAGGAGUAAGAGACAGAGGACUGCAAAGUCUUUUGGUGAUGAUUUCAUUGUGUACCUUGUGGAUGACACACCCAGGACUAUUUCAGAAGCCUAUGCAUCUCCUGAUGCUGACUACUGGAAGGAAGCUGUUCGUAGCGAGAUGGAUUCCAUCUUAGCUAACGGUACCUGGGAGAUCACUGACCGUCCUUAUGGGUGCAAACCUGUAGGAUGUAAGUGGGUGUUCAAGAAGAAGCUUAGACCUGAUGGUACGAUUGAAAAAUACAAGGCACGGCUUGUGGCCAAGGGUUACACCCAGAAAGAAGGUGAAGACUUCUUUGAUACUUACUCACCCGUGGCUAGACUGACCACAAUUCGGGUGCUACUAUCACAGGCGGUCUCACAUGGUCUUCUCGUUCAUCGAAUGGACGUUAAGACAGCUUUCCUCAAUGGAGAGUUGAAGGAGGAAAUUUACAUGGAUCAGCCAGAUGGUUUUGUAGUACCUGGUCUGGAAGGAAAGGUGUGCAAGUUAUUAAAGUCUUUAUAUGCCUUAAACAAGCUCCUAAGGAGUGGCAUGAGAAGUUCGAAAGAAUAUUAA
rnacentral:rRNA from 1 species